rnacentral:rRNA from 1 species
UUAAAGGAAUUGACGGGGAGCACCACAACGGGUGGAGCUUGCGGUUUAAUUGGAUUCAACGCCGGAAAUCUUACCGGGACCGACAGCAAUAUGAAGGCCAGGCUGAAGACUUUGCCGGAUUAGCUGAGAGGUGGUGCAUGGCCGUCGUCAGUUCGUACUGUGAAGCAUCCUGUUAAGUCAGGCAACGAGCGAGACCCACGCCCACAGUUGCCAGCGUACUCUCUGGAGUGACGGGUACACUGUGGGACCGCCGCUGCUAAAGCGGAGGAAGGAAUGGGCAACGGUAGGUCAGUAUGCCCCGAAUAUCCCGGGCUACACGCGAGCUACAAUGGUUGGUACAAUGGGUAUCUACCCCGAAAGGGGACGGGAAUCUCCUAAAACCAAUCUUAGUUCGGAUUGAGGGCUGCAACUCGCCCUCAUGAAGCUGGAAUCCGUAGUAAUCGCGUUUCAACAGAACGCGGUGAAUACGUCCCUGCUCCUU